rnacentral:misc_RNA from 1 species
GGUUAUUUGGUUUGACUGCAAUUACUUGAUUUAAGAGACAAGUGGCAACGAGAAUCACAGUUAUGCUACUUAAGUUAUGGUACAUAACUAGUUUUAAGAGUAUAAUACAUGUGAAAUCCCAGUUCACAUAAAACUAAUAUCACGCAGGACACGGUGAAAGGGACAUAUAUUAAAACAGCUAAGGACAUGUAUUACAAUAGCUAAGGACAUCGAUUACCAAUGAUGCAAGCAUGAUUGAUACUGCAACCAAAUUUGAUCAGGAGUCAAUGGAUGAAGUAUCCAUGGACAGUUAUUCAACUUGUAAAGUCUCUGACCAACUGGGUGCGGGCACUCCAUGUCUAUCGAAUAUCCCUCUUGCAGCUCUGCUGAACAUGUUGUGAACCUGCUUGGAUGAAAGGCCUAGCUUCUCUAAAUCACUCAGCGUUUUUAAGGGGCUUGUUUCUCUGAGAUCAACUAUAUACUCAGCCAUUUUCAAUCCAAUCCCCUGUAUUUAGAAACAAGACGAUAAAUAAAAGUGAGAGUAACACAACACUUAUAUAUGAGCCCAAAGAUAAAUAUUCCAUUUUCAUGUAUACCUUGAUUUCCAGUAGUUCCUCUCUGCAGAAGCCAAUUAACAAUUUUAGUUUCUAUACAAAGGAUGCAAUACAAAAAUUUAAAGACAACUUUGGACGUAAAAUACCUGCUCGCUGUAUUCAGGAACUCAAUGUACUCUUGUAUAAGAGAGCUCUGCACAACAAAGUUUUGGAAAUUACAAGCAAAAUUUAAGAGCUUUGCAUAUUAAGUGGUUGGAUCAUCUUACAUACCUUCAAAGUAGCACUCAUUGCACUAAAUUUGUCUAGUGGGGUGCCUCCUGUUGUGAACUUGUCAUUUGCUCGGGUCACAGUAUAUGGUGUCAUUGGAGUCGUCGGCUCAAAGAAAACGGGGCACUUUGGCCCUGCAGAUGCUACUUCUUCAUGGGGAAAUGGUUUUAUAUUUGAGUUGAUAGGGGAGAGAACUUUCCUCAAAGGACUUCCCAAAGCAUUUUUAUUCUCGCUAAUUGGUGAUGCUUCUAUUGUGUUGUUUGAGUCUCUGACAUUCUUUUCCUCAACUGGAUUUUGUGUAGUGGGUUCCAAAACAGUUUCAGCAGAAUCAGCACAGAUCUCUUCUCUAUUGUCCUCAGCAACAAACUGCAGACUCUCCAACAAAGAAUCAUUCAAUCCUUCAGUAUUGAACAAAUUUCUGAAGGGUACGGCCUUUGUCCUCUCUUUAGCAUUAGAUGGGCCCCUGUUGCUAUUGACCUUUGCUUUCACAGUGGAUUGGUAAGUAGGUUGCUUGAUAGAACUCACAGGAAAUGGAGAAGCACAAGCUCCAUUUCUUUGAGCGCUCUUUGUCUUGCCUUUUGAUUCAAGCCAAGCUCGCAGUUUUGCCUCCAUGUCAACUUUAAUCUUGGGAGUCUCUAGUUUUUUAGCUGAAGAAACAGUAUUAAAGAUGUGGCGUGACCUAGCAGCCAAGCUGACAGUAUGAACAGAUUCUUGAUACUCUCCUGGAUUCAAACAAGCAACCAUCAUAGCACGACUGGUGCCUCCAAGAGAGUCCUGCAAUAUACGAGUCAAUUUGGUUUCUCGAUAUGGUACUCGGGGUUUGCUGUUGUUUAGCGCAUGAAUCACAUUCGACAAUGCAAAUAAGGAUUGGUUAAUUUUGGCACUCUCUUGCAGGCGUAUCCCUUCAUUACAGGUCCUUCUGUUAUCUUCAUUACCUGCUAAGUCUAUGAGAUUAAGCUUCCCAGUAAUAACAGGCCCAGAACCACCACUGCAAGGAGUGGUGACACCUAUCACAAGCACCCCAUGGCUUCUACUUGAUACAUCAUUGAGACCUGUAUGUGCAAUCUUCCUUCUCUGAGCUCCACGAGACAAAACCUCUUGAAAUUCGGCCAUUGAAUUGACUGGGACUCGAGAUAAUCCCUUAAGGUGAGUUUGCCCAUCUUUAUCAUCUAGAAUUGCAAUUUCUUUUGCUUUGAGUUCUAAAAGAUCAUAACAUCUAUCCAUAUACACUUCAUAAUAUGAAAGCUCUGCUGUACUCGCUGUACACUGGCAAAUGGACAGAAUUUUGGACAUGGCCAGUGCCAUUAGCCCUGGCAAUUGAUCAGUACCCUGCAUAGUGUAGGUCUUUCCGCUGCCAGUAGCUCCAUAGGCAAACACCGUAGCAUUAUAGCCCUGGAAUAUCCCUGGAAUUAAAGGGUUCACUUCUCUCUCAAAAAUUCGGCUCACACUAUUAUCCUCUUGGCCAAAGAAGGAAUCCAACUGAUAGAACUCGUUUCGGCUGGAGUCAGGAUCUUUAAGACGAACAGUCACUUCCUCUCUUGGAUCACAAUCUCGACCAACAACAGAAAUACAGGAGCUUGGAUUGCCAUUUUUUGCUGCAAUUUCGUGAGGGAGAAAGGGGCGUACCCUUACGAUCACUCUUACCUUUGAGAUGAAAUUGCCAUCCAUGGGUUUUUCGAGAGUGCAAGUUUUGUGAGAUCUUGGUGUGUUCAGUGAACCGCUUUGGAUUUCCAUUGAAAUACAAGCUUUCAAUUGAGAGAUUUGCAGAGAAACUUAGAAGAAAAGUGAAAAGGAGAAAUCGAAGGCUGUUUGGGAUCAAGAAUCAAGAUUAGACACAGACCGAAG